rnacentral:lncRNA from 1 species
GCUGUACAUGGCUCGAACAGAAGAGCUGUGAUGUGCUGCUUUCUUCAGCGUUUCAUCACAUCUCCAUGUGACGCCUGCUGUCUAUACACAUAGCCAUGUCAAGUGAUGAAAAAGUGAGAAGGAGUGUCCUCUGCACCUCUGCGCAUGACUUCAGAGGGCAAUCCCAACUGGUGGCAAGUGAUGUUCCUCUUUGCUUUUGCAUUAGAGAGUCUGCCCAGCAGCAGUGUGAACUACCCUGAGGGGCUGAACAUGACAGGGUUGAAC